CGCUAGCGGCAGGCUUAACACAUGCAAGUCGAGGGGUAACAGGGAGCUUGCUCCGCUGACGACCGGCGCACGGGUGCGUAACGCGUAUAGAACCUACCUUUUACAGAGGGAUAGCCUUUAGAAAUGAAGAUUAAUACCUCAUGGUAUUGGAGAUUGGCAUCAAUCACUAAUUAAAGAUUUAUCGGUAAAAGAUGGCUAUGCGUCCUAUUAGCUAGAUGGUAAGGUAACGGCUUACCAUGGCAACGAUAGGUAGGGGCCCUGAGAGGGGGAUCCCCCACACUGGUACUGAGACACGGACCAGACUCCUACGGGAGGCAGCAGUGAGGAAUAUUGGGCAAUGGAGGCAACUCUGACCCAGCCAUGCCGCGUGCAGGAAGAAGGCUUUCUGAGUCGUAAACUGCUUUUGACAGGGAAGAAUAAGCUGGACGUGUCCAGUGAUGACGGUACCUGCAGAAUAAGCACCGGCUAACUCCGUGCCAGCAGCCGCGGU
rnacentral:rRNA from 1 species